rfam:Ordospora colligata OC4 contig_12, whole genome shotgun sequence.
GCGACAUUGGCGUAGCGGUUAGCGUGUUGGUCUCAUAAUCCAGAGGUGCGAGUUCGACUCUCGCAUGUCGCA